rnacentral:rRNA from 1 species
UACGGGGGGGGCAAGCGUUGUUCGGAAUUACUGGGCGUAAAGGGCUCGUAGGCGGCCAACUAAGUCAGACGUGAAAUCCCUCGGCUUAACCGGGGAACUGCGUCUGAUACUGGAUGGCUUGAGAUUGGGAGAGGGAUGCGGAAUUCCAGGUGUAGCGGUGAAAUGCGUAGAUAUCUGGAGGAACACCGGUGGCGAAGGCGGCAUCCUGGACCAACACUGACGCUGAGUGAGCGAAAGCCAGGGGAGCAAACCGG